UACGGGGGGAGCAAGCGUUGUUCGGAUUUACUGGGCGUAAAGGGCGCGUAGGCGGUCGUGACAAGUCACUUGUGAAAUCUCCGGGCUUAACUCGGAACGGUCAAGUGAUACUGUCGGACUAGAGUACAGAAGGGGCAACUGGAAUUCUCGGUGUAGCGGUGAAAUUCGUAGAGAUCGGGAGGAACACCAGUGGCGAAGGCGGCUAUCUGGCUGACAACUGACGCUGAGACUCGAAAGCAUGGGGAGCAAACAGG
rnacentral:rRNA from 1 species